AUAUAUAUAUAUAUAUAUAACUGUUGUAUUGGACUUCUCGGUUUGGUGAGGGGCUGGGUAGUGGAGUUUUGUGUAAUCAGUCCCCUCAAGGGCCAAGGCAAUUUGAAAAUUUUUAAAAAGAUGUGAUUUCAUGCCUAUGAAACAUCAAGAUGGAAUGGGUUUGAACAUCAGGCUCUGCCUGGCCCAUUGAUGGAUUGGAUUAAUCGAUAAAUUUUCCUAAGCCUGUUUAGUGCGCCUAUUAAUAGA
rnacentral:misc_RNA from 1 species